GGUGCUGAGGGGUGUUGCUGAAGAGAUACCACUUUUCUCAUUCCAUACUUGGGAGCAGAGUCAAACUCCUUUCCAGUUGAAUGACAGCCAGAGUUUGAAUGAUUUGCUGACAGACACAGGAGCAGUCUGGCUACUCCCCCCCUUCCCCCUUUGGUCUCAGUAGAGAAACAUCUGAAGAAAUCCAGACUAACACGGCUACCCCUCUGAUAGUAGAGAAACAGAAGCUUGGGAUCAGUGGAGGACUGUAAUUGCAUGGAGUGGGGAGAAUAUUUGCACUGGUUCUCUCCCUAAGCACCUACAUCUAACUUGCCUGAAGAAUUGGUUCAGAUUCCCUCUGUCCUCCUCAUGUUUUGGGCCUGAACAUUCUCAGCAUCAUUCAGACUGUGACCACAACAUUCAACCUUCAUCCAGAUGGAGAUUUUACAACUCAAUAUUGCAGCCUGAUGAGAGUCAGACCUUAAAUGCACAGGCAACCCGCAUUUUUAGUAU